rnacentral:rRNA from 1 species
AUUGAACGCUGGCGGCAUGCUUUACACAUGCAAGUCGAACGGCAGCGAGGAGAAGCUUGCUUCUCUGUCGGCGAGUGGCGAACGGGCGAGUAUAGCAUCGGAACGUGCCAAGUAGUGGGGGAUAACCAAACGAAAGUUUGGCUAAUACCGCGUAAGCUCUAAGGAGGAAAGUAGGGGACCUAAAUAAGGCCUUACGCUAUUUGAUCGGCCGAUGUCGGAUUAGCUAGUUGGUGGGGUAAUGGCUCACCAAGGCAAUGAUCCGUAGCGGGUCUGAGAGGACGAUCCGCCACACUGGGACUGGGACACGGCCCAGACUCCUACGGGAGGCAGCAGUGGGGAAUUUUGGACAAUGGGGGAAACCCUGAUCCAGCCAUGCCGCGUGUAUGAAGAAGGCCUUAGGGUUGUAAAGUACUUUUGUUAGGGAAGAAAAGCUAGUUUUUAAUAAAAAUUAGUGAUGACGGUACCUAAAGAAUAAGCACCGGCUAACUACGUG